rnacentral:rRNA from 1 species
GCAAAGUACGCCUCUUGCAAUAAUGAAUAAGAGGUCCCGCCUGCCCUGUGACUAUAAGUUUAACGGCCGCGGUAUUUUGACCGCGCGAAGGUAGCGCAAUCACUUGUCUUUUAAAUGGAGACCUGUAUGAAUGGCACAACGAGGGCUUAGCUGUCUCCUCCCCUAAGUUAAUGAAAUUGAUCUCCCCGUGCAGAAGCGGGGAUAAAUACAUAAGACGAGAAGACCCUAUGAAGCUUUAGACGUAAGGUAGCCCAAACUACAAUGACCCCCUGAUAAGGGGACAAACCAAAAGGACCUCUACCCCAAUGUCUUUGGUUGGGGCGACCGCGGGGUAAGAAAAAACCCCCACGUGGAACGGGAGUACAACUCCUUAAACUCAGGGCCACAGCUCUAAGAAACAAAAUUUUUGACCUAAAGAUCCGGCAAUGCCGAUCAACGGACCGAGUUACUCUAGGGAUAACAGCGCAAUCCCCUUUUAGAGACCAUAUCAACAAGGGGGUUUACGACCUCGAUGUUGGAUCAGGACAUCCUAUUGGUGCAGCAGCUAUUAAGGGUUCGUUUGUUCAACGAUUAAAGUCCU